UGGAUAAGUCAAAUUUAAGGAAUAAAAAUUGAAAUAUGAAAAGAGACAUUCUCACUGUUGGCACUCAAAAUACUUUCCUCAUCUCUUCUUCUUGUAGCUGUCCCCACUUGCAAGUUGUGGAGAUUACGUUCCCACCUUGGCCCUCCCAAUGUUAACAUCGUGGCUCUGCCGCUACUCUUUUCUCUUGACUCACGCAAGGCACCAGUCUGCCUAAAGUCUCUAUGGUAUGGGGUCUAUAAUAAUAUUGCUUUAGUUAACCUCUACACAACCAACUCAACUGCAUUUUUGUUGUAGACGUAGUCUUCCAUUUGUGGCCAGAAGCACUAUGAAAUUGGCAUCUAUGAGCUAAGACUCUCGUGUACUAGCGAGGUCUCAUGGGAGGUAGGGGCUCUAAGAUUCUUUGAUUUUCAAUAUGGCUAAGGAUAUAAGCAUAUGAAGCAGCAAGAGUCUAAGUCUCAAAUCUGUUGUAAGGUGCUCUCUCCACUUGUCCUUUAUGUUGUUGGCGUUGACUAUUAUCUCUACCAGUCAUUUGAUGCAGGGGGAAUUGUUAGAAGCGGAGAAACGUUACCCCCCCCACCCCCCCCCCCCCCCAAAGUUUAUGUUAGAGUGAAGGUUUCUCCUUUGAUGUUCAUGUAGAGAGGGCAACCCUUGCGCGGGCUAUUAAAUCUAUAGGGGGAGGAGGGUUGGAAAAAGCUCUAGAUGGCUAUACAUUUACCCCUUGAAGCCUUUUUUUUUCUACAUAAUGGUGGACCUUUUUGUAAAGGGUGAAAAGUCUGUCUGGUUGAUCAUUUAUCAAUGUAUACUUGAGGUGUUCAUGAUCUACACCUACAAUGAACGCCUAAAUGGCCCAUUCAUCUGCUAGACCUUUAACCCUCAUUGUUGUUGCGCUAAAUCUACGAAUAAAUCCCUUAGAUGUUUACCAUCUUUGUGCUUGAUGAAAAGUAGAUAUGUUGGGCCUUGUUUUAAUGUCUUGUUUGUGAAUAAUCUGGCCAUAAACAGGUUCUCCAACUCAUGAACGGUAUGAAUUGGUCCCUUCGGUAAGGACAAAUACCAUGCCCUUAUGUAAUCCCUUAAAAGUCAUAGAAAAGGCUCGGCAUUUUAAGGUCAGCUGUUGGGCCUCUCUGUCGGUGAGAAAAUGAUUGAAUGGUUUCUUCCUAUUAACCCUCUUACUAAGGGGCUCGGGUUGGAGGUUUUGGUUGGUUUGUAAAUCUUAAAUUUUUUUUGUUAAUAGUAUCAAUCUCCUGUUGUUAUCAGUAAAGCCAUUAAAGUAAGGUGGGUUGUUUUUCUAAAACCUUCAUUCUUUUUCUUGCAUUUCACAACUUGUGUUGGGAUUUUGCAAGGUUUGUUUUCUUAGGGUAGAGUAAGGGUAGUUUUGAUGAGGUGGUGGAUAGUUAGUAUCUCGGUGGUGGGUGUUGGGCAUAGCGCGCGUAGUAUGGGUAGCUGGGUCAUAAGGAUUAUAUGAACAUAAUAAGUAUGGUCUUGUGAUUGCCGAGGGAAAGCAUGUUGAGAAAAAAAAGGUUUUUUUACUAAAUUGACUCAAAAAAAUUUUAUAUUUAUAAAAAUGAUUUAGGUUCAAAAACAAUCACCAAAAUUACCUGAAAUAAAUAGUAGAAUAGGGUUUUAGCUUGUCAAUGACCGGCACCAAUUCGUAUUUUGGACCUCUGAUUGUCUGAUAAUUGUGUCAGGCUUUAAAAAUUGUUUUUUUUGGGCUGUCAAUGGCCGACAUCAGGGUAUUUUUUUGGCUAUUUUACUAAAUUGACCCAAAAAAUUUUGAUAUUUACAAAAAUUAUCCAGGUUCAAAAACAAUCACCAGAAUGACCUGAAAUGAACAGUAGAAUGGGGUUUUGGCCUGUAAGUGGCCAGCACCAACUCGUAUUUUGGACCCAUGAUUGCCUGAUAACUGUGUCAGGCUUUAAAAAAUUGAUUUUUUUGGUUCUGGCCUGGCAAUGGCCAGCACCAAGAUAUUUUUUUGUUAAAAUCAUAUCAUACUGGUAUACAAAAAUACCAGUAUUUAAAAAAAAUUGGUUCUGCCCUGUCAAUGGCUGGCACCAGAAUACGUGUUUUUAAAAAAAAAAAUUGGUACUGGCCUAUCAAUGGCCGGCACCAAAGUACAAGUUUUAAAAAAAUUGGUUCUGGCCUAUCAAUUGCUGGAACCAGAGUACGAGUUUUUUAAAAAAAAUUUGUGCUGGCCUAUCAAUGGCCGGCACCAAGUAAAAAAAAAUCAAUUUUUUUGGUGCCGGCAUGCAAUAGAGUACCAGUAUUUUAAAAAAAAAUUAGAGCUGGCUUAUCAAUUGUCAGCACCAGACUGUGCUUAGUUGAUUCUCAGGUCAUUCUUAGGCCUAUGCUUAGGUGAUGCAGGCAAGCCUGCAGAUUAAUCUUGUCAAAAUUUUCUUUUUUCAUUUUUUUCAUUUUUUUCAUUUUCAUUUCAUUUUAAUUUUAUUUCAUUCCAAUUUCAUUUCAUUUUAAUUUCAUUUCCAUUCCUAUUUCCAUUUCAUUUCAUUUAAAUUAUACUUUUUUCAAUUAAAUUUAUUUUUUUCUCAAUUCAUUUAUAUUAUUUUUAAUUUUAAUUUUAAUUUUUUUCCUCAUUUCAUUUAAAUUUUCUAUUUUUCAAUGCAAAUUUAUUUUUUUUUAAAUACUGAUGCCGGCCAUUGACAGACUAGCACCAAAAAAAAAAUUUUAAACUCAUACUCUUUUGCCGGCCAUUGACAGGCCAAUACCAAAAAAUUUGAUUUUUUUUUUGCACUUGGUGCCGGCCAUUGACAGGCCAACACCAAAAAAAUUUGAUUUUUUUUCGUACUUGGUGCCGGCCAUUAACAGGCGAGAACCAAAUUUUUUUUUAAACUACUGGUAUUUCUGUAUAGCAGUAUGAUACGAUUUUAAAAAAAAUACCCUGAUACCGGCCAUUGACAGGCCAAAACCGAAAAAAAUAAUUUUUUAAAGCCGACACAAUUAUUAGACAAUCAUGGAUCCAAAAUACGAGUUAGUGCCGGCCAUUGACACGCCAAAACCCACAUUCUACUGUUUAUUUCAGGUCAUUUUGGUAAUUGUUUUUGAACUUGUGUCAUUUUUGUAAAUAUAAAAAAAAUGGUCAAUUUAGUAAAAAAAACUUUUUUUAAAUCGUAUCAUACUGGUAUAAAAAAAUAUUAAUAUUUUAAAAAAAUUGUGCUGGCCUGUUAAUGGUCAGUACCAAGUACAAAAAAAAUCAACUUUUUUUGUGCUAGCCUGUCAAUUACCGACACCAAAGUACCAAUAUUUAAAUUUUUUUUAGAGCUGGCUUGUCAAUGGCCAGCAUCAGACUGUGUGACAGCCCUAAAGUGACCCUAGUCGGAAAGCGGUUUCAGAACCGCUAAACCGAGUCACCAAAUUAUUUGAAUAUAAUGAUUAUUGUCUAAAAUAUGUGAAUAUGAAUGUGUGAAAGUUUUAAGCUUCGAUUUAGUCAAUUGCAAGUGAAUUUAGCUAAUAGGACUUAUGUGUGACACUUUUGAAAUGUGAUAGGUCGAUCUAUAAGGAUCUAUUAGUGCAUGAAAUCAAAAGGGUGGACUUGCAUGUCAAUUUCCCCCUUAAGAAGUAGUGGCCGGCCAUGACAUUAAGGAUAGACAAAAUGUUAUGGGCAAAACAUGUCAUAAACAUGUUAUGUUAGUGAUUUAUGUUAGGAAAAAUAAAAUAAUGAGUAUGGGCAAUAAAAUAAUAAUGGGAAGGUAAAUGAUGACAAAAGAAAAAUGUGUGUGGUUGCCCCCCCAUUGCUGUGAAUUGAAAAAAAAAAGAAGUUCUCAUGUUGUUCUUGGCCAAAUGGGAGAAAGAGAAGAAGGGGGAAGAGCUUUGAGAAAAUCGGCUUGGUGGGUUGCUAGACUAAGGUAUGUUUGAUGUUGUCCAUGAGAUUCAUGCAUGUUUUUAGUUGUUAGUUUGAGUUCUACCUAGCCCAUGGUUUAAAUCUUUGCUAUGAGAUGGAGAUGAUAUUCGGCCAUGGGUGUUGUCUUCUUGGUUGAUGUUUGAUGUUGUGGUGAUGAGGCAUGAAGAUGAGUCAAGUUUCGGCUAAGGUGGAUUUGUGUUGAUGUCAUUUGCAUGCUAAUUGUGAAGCUUUGUAAUGAUACAUGUGAUGGUGAUUGAUGACUCUUGGAUUUUCUUUUUGGCAUUUUUGAGUUAGACAUUAAGUUCUUUGUGUAACCCAUGACCAAAAUUGAAUGGUAUGGUGUCUUGAUGCAUUCGGCCAUGGUAGAAAGUAGAUGUGAAAUGGCAGUAAGGUGAAGUGCAAAAUGUUAGUAUUUGAUUACUAGUGUAUAUAUGCGUAUUAGCCGAGUUUUGAACUUGAAACAAAAUGAUAUGUAGUCAAUACAAGUAACCAUACUUGUAGGAAGUAUUAAGCAUAUAAUCGGCCUCAACAUAGACAUGCAUAUUCGGCCACAUGAAGAAGAUUGGUGUUGCAUGUAUUCGGUUAGAGGCAAGCAUAUUGAUGCUUUUAUCUUGGCUUAGAUAAUCGGCUCAAGGAGAAUUUGUUAAGUGCUUAGUUAAUUGAUAUUAGGUCAAUGAUGUGUGUAUUCGGUCAUAAAAGUGCACAAGAGGAAAUGUUAGAUUAAUUGUAUUAAAUUGCUCAAUGUGAUUAAAAAUGCGUAUGACCAUUUUGUAUUUGAGCUAAAGGUGGCCAUAUGACCUAUCAAACUCCUUGUCAUAUUCGGCCAUAAGCUAGCAUAAUGAGACUUUAAUAAGUUAAAUUUGUUUGAAUUAGCUCAAGAGCUUAGAGGACCACAGUUGGAUAAGGGAAGGGAAAAAGUGAUCGAAUAGCCGCCGAAAUCGUUUGACCACAUCCGAGGUAAGUUUUAAGUGAUUAAACGUUGAGUAAAUUCAAUCAUAAUAGGACAUAAUGAGUUGAUUUAAUAAGAUAUGAUGUGGCCAUGAUAUGUCUUAAACUCAAAUGAUAAGUUCAUAAGUGUUUGGACUUGGAAAUUUAAGAGCAAAUUGUAAUAAUUUGCUUGGACAGCAGCAGUAAUGUGAUUUUAGAAAAUCACUAUAAAUUGUUGGUGUGGAGAUUAUGUCCGGGUAAGACCCAAUGACUACGUGUGGAGAUUAUGUCCGGGUAAGACCCGAUGACUACGUGUGGAGAGUAUGUCCGGGCCCGAUGACUACGUGUGGAGAUUUUGUCCGGGUAAGACCCGAUAACUUCGUGUGGAGAUUUCGUCUGAGCUAAAGGUCUCGCCGAUAAUCCGAGUAGAGGUGAAAGCUAUAAGACUUCGUAAUAAGAAUUGCUUAUAAAUAUAUUCAAUGCGAAAGGUUAAACAGGUAUGUACUCCAAGUUUAUAUGUGAGCUUGAUUUGAACUAAAUCAUAAGGUAGUUAUGUGAUGCAUACGAGAGCAAUCUAUAGGACUAUUCCUAUGAUUAUGUGACAUCGGAUUAGUGUGAGAGGUUAUUUGAAAUCAUACGAUAUAUCUAUGCCACAUGAGCUCACUUUUAUGUGAGAGUUUAUCUGCCUAUUGUAUAUGAUGAGAUGUGCAUAUUCGGUAAAGGGAUGGCAUGCCCGAAGGAAGAGUGAAAUAAAAAUACGAACAACUAUGUUAUAAUUUGAUUGUUAUCUGUUGACACUGCUUAAAAUUUACUAAGCAUUGUAAUGCUUACUCCGUUUACUCUGUUUUCUCUGUUUUAUAGAUCUCAUUGCGAAGCUACAGGCUUGGGGAUCGUCAGCAACUAGUCACACUAUCACUAUCCACCGCUUGUUACUGUUAUGUUUAGAAUUAUUUUAUGGCAUGUAUAGAAUAGACUAGUGGCGGAAGAAUAUUUUUGGUUAAUGUAUAUAAGCCAUGCGAAA
rnacentral:lncRNA from 1 species